UUGCCUACCCUCCCGCAUUCAGCGGGAGGCUCCCGUUUUUUACUUGAGCCUCCCGCUGCCCCGCAAACCUUGCUUUGACUCCCGGUUUUUACAGGUCCCUCUGUGAAGAUCUGGACUGCGCAUGCGCGAGUCCAGAAAUGCCGGAGACCGGGACCUGCAUGUGAGACGCGACGUCCCUUCCAAUAGCUGUGCGACGUGCGUCCUGCAGAGGCAGCGUAUGCAGUGGCUCUUCACUUGAACCGUCAUCAGGGCGGGACAGGAGCUUCAGACUGGAUCGUUUACCAAUGCAGGGAGGCGCUCUCUCUUCUCUGCAACUAUCAGCUGUUGCAGAACAGCAGUGUGAAGGCCCUUCAGUGCCUAUUUCCCUGGUGGCCAGGUCUCCUUUUCCCCUCAGAGAUGACAAUUUUUUUUUGGCCUGGUUCAGCAGCAAGCCGAGGCCACGCCCCCUUCCACAGGCUCCGCCCCCUCGCACGACCCGCGAUUUCCUCCCCUCCACCGUCAAUUUUGAGGAUUCGGCACAGAGCUCCUGCAGUUACCAUGGUGAUAACCCGAUGACGCCGGGCCGGACGGACUGGGUGGACGCACACUGAUGACGUCACAGAGCGUGAUGGAGCAGCGUUCACGCUGUACACUCACACGGAGGCCGGCAUCUGAUACUGCGGCGCCCAGCUGGAACCGGUCAGGAGGUCUAAUGAGGAAAUGUUAUUAGUAAAGAACAACGGGCUUCAAUUUUUUGUUUGUUUUUGGGGAGUGGCACAAUCAGCAUCAUAUCAACUCCGAGUAAUCCCAUUGUGAAAAAAGAAAUAAACAUUUUUAAA